rnacentral:tRNA from 1 species
CUCAGUUGGUAGAGCUCCGCUCUUGCAAGGCGGAUGUCAGCGGUUCGAGUCCGCUUAUCUCCA